rnacentral:rRNA from 1 species
AAGAAUUUAAAGGUCGAACAGACCUAACAAUUAAGCACCUACACCUAACUAUAAUCCUAAUCCAACAUCGAGGUCGCAAACUUAUCCCGUCAAUAUGAACUCUCAAGAAAAAUUACG